ACAUGUCUACAAUAUAGUGUUAAUGCACGAGAUCCCAUUAUAACUCCGCAGUUAAGCGCGCUCAGGCUAGUGUAGUACUGGGAUGGGUGACCACAAGAGAAGUCCUAGUAUUUUACAUGCC
rnacentral:rRNA from 1 species